UGUCUUUUUUCAUACCAUUCCACCAAAAUUGGGGUCUCAAAUUUUGAUACAUUUUAGUAUUGCCCGGAUGCAUGGUGAAUUUGGAGUAAUGAGCCUUAGUCAAAAUACCUUUCUUUAGUUCAUCAUUAUUGGGAACACACACUCUGUCGUUAAAUCUGAGUAACCCAUCAUCCGACACUCUGAACUCUAGCUUUAAAUCGUGCUCUGCGUCCUUCUUAACG
rnacentral:lncRNA from 1 species